CGCGCAUUAAUGUGCCUGGUACACAAGUGAUCUUGGUCCCACUGUAUUCAGUCCCUGCUGAUUUUGGUGUCUGCACUGUCUGGUCUCUGCAUCUUCACACCGGGCACCGCCUUAUUGGCAUUUAAGUAUUCCUGUACCCUGUGACAGAAGUGGCACAUUUACAGAAACAAGUCUAUAUUUUAUUGUCUGUGAAGGAAGUGCUUGCUUUUUGAGCAAUGAACACAGACUUUGUGAUAC